rnacentral:rRNA from 1 species
CAGCAGCCGCCGUAAUGCCAGCCUUCACAAGCAUAUACAAAUGUUGCUGCGUUUAAAAAGCUCGUAGUUGAAUUUGUUCAGAAGUCCUUCAAUUCGUUAGUAAACGUAAGAAGUGACUUUACUGAUCAUGUUUUCGAGUUUGCUUGCGCUUAACUGUGUUGAGUGAAUUAGAGAAACAGUUUACUUUGAGAAAAUUUGAGUGUUCAAAGCAUCCUUUGGGUAUGAAUGCCGUAGCAUGGAAUAAUAGAAAAUGACUCCGUACCUAUGUUGGUUUAUGGUAUAGACGUAAUGAUUAAAAAGGACAGGCGGGGACAUUCGAAUUGCUGCGUUAGAGGUGAAAUCAAGAGCGAUCGUCCGAGUAUUCAAGAGGAUUAGAUACCCUCGUAAUUCUAACUGUAAACGUUACAUGCUUAAGAUCCGUUCACUUUUCGAAAUAGACUUAACGGGGAAGUUACCCGGUAAACCAAAGCUAGGUAUGUUACCGGGGGAAGUAUGGUUGCAAAAUCGAAACUUAAAGGAAUUGACGGAAGGGCACCACCAGGAGUGGAGCCUGCGGCUUAAUUUGACUCAACACGGGAAAACUCACCAGGUCCAGACAUCCGAAGGAUUGACAGAGUGAUUUUUUCUGAUGAUUUCAUGGGUGGUGGUGCAUGGCCGUUCUUAGUUAGUGGAGUGAUCUGUCUGGUUGAUUCCGAUAACGAACGAGAUUUUAUCCAUUUUAUUAGAAGCAGUAUUGCAAAAAUUCAGUCUUCUUCUUAGAGGAACUAUGCGGAAUUUUUUACCGUAAGGAAGUUGGUCCAUAAACAGUUCUGUGAUGCCCUUAGAUGUUCUGGGCUGCACGCGUGCUACACUGAUUUUAAAGAAUAUAUGUUCAUUUUCCUGUUCGAUGUGGAUUAGGUAAUCAAGUAAUGAAAUAUCAUGCUUGGAAUCGGCAAUUGAAAUUAUUUUUCGUGAACGAGGAAUUCCUAGUAAGCACUGGUCAUCAGCUAAUGCUGAUUAUGUCCCUGCCCUUUGUACACACCGCCCGUCGCUACUACUGAUUGGGUGUUCAAGUGAGAAUCUUGGACUUUUGCUUCUUGAAUAUUUUUAGGUUGCAUGGAGAAAAAGUUUCAAGCUGGAGUGUCUAGAGGAAGUAAAAGUCGUAACAAGGUAUCCGUAG